UCAGCCCUGAGCUGCCGAUGCCCUCGGGGUUCUGUUUUCAUUCCAGGCUGUGGAUCCGGUCGUGGGAAGCAGGCUCCAGCCCUCACCAGCAGGGACUCAACAAACGCCAUCUGUCAGAUGAGUCAUGGGACCAGAAGCUUGGGAGAAGACAUGCAGAGCCAACCACUAACAAAACUGGCAAAUGAAAUAAAUGCCCAGAAACCUGCUCCAUCCCCAGCAUUCCUUAAGUCCUAUAAAUUGCACCACCUUUUACCAGUUUUCAGAAACUAAAAGUCAUCCUUGACAUCCGUCCAAUCAAUCACCUCCUAUUUAUCUCCCAAAUUCAUUCUUUUUUCUUUUUGAAACAGAGUUUUUACUCUUGUUGCCCAGGCUGAAGUGCAAUGGCACGAUCUCAGCUCCCUGCAACCUCCGCCUCCCAGGUUCAAGCCAUUCUCCUGCGGGAUCUUGUUCUGUUGCCCAGGCUGGUCUCCAACUUCUGGCUGCAAGUGAUCCUCCCUCCUUGGCCUGGCAAAGUGCUGGGAUUACAGGGCCGCACACAUACAGAGCUGAACUUGUAUCGCCGUGUAGAUGAAGACAAACACCUUUAGGAGAUGGCAGAGAAACAAAAUGGGAAACCCUCAGGUCUCCAAAUGACUACACCAAGCAGAAUUGCCCCACCAGCCUGCACCAUUCAUUUCUAGACUAUGAGCAAGAAGUACACUUCCAUCUUAUUUAAACAACCAUAUUUGGGGUUUUUGUUGUUGUUAUUGUUGUUGUUAUAGGAGCUUAGCUUUUACUCUAAGAAAUACAGCUACUCAACUCACUUCAUUAGGAUCUUAACUAUAAUAUCAAAACCUCCUAAGCACAGAAUAAAAAAUACAGUAGAGCAAUAUCAUUUAUGAUCAUAGAUGCAGAGCUUCCAAAUGAAAUACUAGCAUAUUCAAGGAAAGAUAUAUAUACCAUGACCUAGUUGUGUUUAAUUUCUGGAAUUCAAAAAUGGAAUGUUUGACAUAAGAAAAUCUAUUAGGCCGGGCGCGGUGGCUCACGCCUGUAAUCCCAGCACUUUGGGAGGCCGAGGCAGG
rnacentral:lncRNA from 10 species